CUCAUCUACCAAAGGGGGAUGAUAACAGUAGUCCUAGUGCCUGGGCUCGUCGCCAGGAUUCAAGAAGGAGUAUAUGUGAAGCUCUUAGACGACCCCCUCCUAGUCAAGUAAUCUUUGAAACCAAAGUACGUGAACCAAAGAGCAUGGAAUCAAAAGGUUCCUGAGGCUCUGAGAUGGGAAUGAGAACUGAAGAAGCCAUAUGAUAAGAUGCCGUGAUCAGAAAUAAAAUGAGACAUGUUUUGACACUUAAUGACAUCCUGAAAGAUUGGGCGGCAGAAGAUGUACACGUGUGUCUGCAGUAAAUGUGGACAAUGCUUACUGUGGCUUUCAAGGCUGGAGAAAGCACACCCGAGGGGGUCGUGUCCCACACUAGGCAGAUCUAAUGGUGCCACAAAAGACAGGUGUUUUGUCAGAUUUCAGCCACACACUUUCACACCUGCAACGCAUUAAGUACAGCAGCAAUGUUAAUGAAGACCAGGUGCCUGUUCCCCAACUUAAAUGAGAAACUGGCAUGAGGUUUGCUGUUUGCUACCUGACGUCUUCCUCCGUGUCUCUGAACACCGGCCCUCCAGUUGACUGGGAAAAUGAACUGGGUAAGGCGGUUAUCCUCGCUGCCUGAGUCGCCUGUUGGUUCUCACCCUCCGAGAGUGGGGAAGACUCUUCCAGCCCCAAGUGUUUCUGGGUUUCUCUGCGGCUACCCCUUUGUGCAGAGCUCAGCCUCCGGGAGUCCCGAAAAGAGCCUGAGCUGCACGAUUGGGCAAAAUGGGUUUCUGGAAAGUGCUGUGUUAUCAGCUGCUACCAGGGAAAGUUUGAUUGCAGCUACUUGAGUCUUUUCAAACUUGAAGUUUUGCC
rnacentral:lncRNA from 1 species